rnacentral:rRNA from 1 species
AGGAUGAACGCUGGCGGCGUGCCUAAUACAUGCAAGUCGAACGAGCUCUUCGGAGCUAGUGGCGGACGGGUGAGUAACACGUUGGUACCUACCCCGAAGUGGGGAAUAACUGCCCGAAAGGGUGGCUAAUACCGCAUAAUACCGCAAGGUUAAAGCGAGUAAUCGCGCUUCGGGAGGGGCCUGCGUCCCAUUAGCUAGUUGGUAGGGUAAUGGCCUACCAAGGCGACGAUGGGUAGCUGGAUCGAGAGGUUGACCAGCCACACUGGGACUGAGAUACGGCCCAGACUCCUACGGGAGGCAGCAGUAAGGAAUCUUCCACAAUGGACGAAAGUCUGAUGGAGCAACGCCGCGUGCAGGAUGACGGUCUUCGGAUUGUAAACUGCUUUUAUAUGGGAAGAUUAUGACGGUACCAUAUGAAUAAGGACCGGCUAACUACGUGCCAGCAGCCGC